CCUCUUCGGAGGUCCGGUUCGCUGGAAACUGAUUUGAUCGCAGUGG
rnacentral:rRNA from 1 species